AGUGAACGCUGGCGGUAGGCCUAACACAUGCAAGUCGAACGGCAGCACAGUAAGAGCUUGCUCUUACGGGUGGCGAGUGGCGGACGGGUGAGGAAUACAUCGGAAUCUACUUUUUCGUGGGGGAUAACGUAGGGAAACUUACGCUAAUACCGCAUACGACCUACGGGUGAAAGCAGGGGAUCUUCGGACCUUGCGCGAUUGAAUGAGCCGAUGUCGGAUUAGCUAGUUGGCGGGGUGAAGGCCCACCAAGGCGACGAUCCGUAGCUGGUCUGAGAGGAUGAUCGGCCACACGGGAACUGAGACACGGUCCAGACUCCUACGGGAGGCAGCAGUGGGGAAUAUUGGACAAUGGGCGCAAGCCUGAUCCAGCCAUACCGCGUGGGUGAAGAAGGCCUUCGGGUUGUAAAGCCCUUUUGUUGGGAAAGAAAAGCAGCAGGUUAAUACCCCGCUGUUCUGACGGUACCCAAAGAAUAAGCACCGGCUAACUUCGUG
rnacentral:rRNA from 1 species